GAAGGAGCUUUACCAUCAUUAAGCCUCCCUCCUCAAACUCUGAAUGACUCUUCUUUCCAUCCGCCCACUUCUUCAUUCUCUUGGCGGCCUUGGUUAGAGGAACACAUGCCCUGUCGGCUUUCUCAUGCCAUCCCUUGUACUUCGGUAAUGGCUUUGACAAUUCGGUGGGCUUGUUUUGUUCCACCUUGCCUUGGUCCAAUGAAGGAAAGUUAGCAUUAGUGGUGGAAGCUAACUUUGCCUUGCUACUUAGCGCAUCGGCCACUAAGUUUGCCUUUCCCGGCUUGUACUCCUUCGCAAAAUCGGACUCCACAAGGGAUGCUUGCCAUCUUUCUUGCUUCAGAGUUGGCUUCUUUUGCUUGAGUACCGGUGGUUCACAUGGAGCCUUGGAUGGCCUAGUGUGGCUAGCAUCCAACAACUCUUUUGGUUGCCUCCGCAACUCUUC
rnacentral:lncRNA from 1 species